GAAUGUGUGUGUAAGAGAGAAACAGUAAUUUAUUGGAGUUUGGGGGCAUGGGACACAUUAAAGUAGUAAAUAUUUGAAAAUCCCUUCUGUCCUUUCCAGAGAGCACUAAUGUAAAAAUGAAGCAUUUAAUAUUAAAGAUAUAUACCAUCUAUAGGCAAAAUCAUCACUAAAAAGUUAGGUGAUGUCAUAGUUUAUAAGAGGCAAUUACGUCUAUAUCACAUGAAUAGGCUUGUUAUUAAAGUUAAAUAGCCAGUUUUCAUUUGUGGGCAGAAGCAGGUGUGAAGUGGGCGGCACCAGGGAAAGGAGAGACAGCAGAGAGAAGCAGGAAGGACAGAGGAGAAUGUGAGGAAGUGCAGCUCAGCCAGGACUGGGGACAGCACACAGGCGGUGGGCAGGCCCCUCUGGGGGUGGAAGGCAAAAGCUCCCGAACCUCAACGGUACACUUGUAGACAGAAUAAUAUUGGCAGACAGCUCUGUGAAGUCCAAGUGCAGAUGUCAUCUGUGAAGUAUCACAGUCUACAAAUGUAAUAGUAAGCCAGAUGAUGUCACUUUGUGCCCAACCGGAAAGGCCACCUAGAAUCUAGUGGGUCCAAG
rnacentral:lncRNA from 1 species